rnacentral:rRNA from 1 species
UACAGAGGUCCCGAGCGUUGUUCGGAUUCAUUGGGCGUAAAGGGUGCGUAGGCGGCGGGGCAAGUCUGAUGUGAAAUCUCGGAGCUUAACUCCGAAACUUCAUUCGAUACUGCCGUGCUUGAGGACUGGAGAGGAGACUGGAAUUUACGGUGUAGCGGUGAAAUGCGUAGAUAUCGUAAGGAAGACCAGUGGCGAAGGCGGGUCUCUGGACAGUUCCUGACGCUGAGGCACGAAGGUCAGGGGAGCAAACGGG